UAUUCCAACAAUGGUUAUUUACCAAUACCGUCUAAAGGCCCCGAAAAUAUUUGGUAUUAUUUUUGGGUCCGAUAUGGAAUUUUAAUUAAAUUUGUUUGGCCAGUAAAUUAACCUAAAUUGCGAGAAGUUUUUUUUCGUUAUUGCAAAAUACCUGGGUUUAUUUAGGAAUUUUAUUGGCGAAUAUUUGCAAAACUAAUUGUCGUCCAACCUUAUUAAAUAAUAUUACCCCGCCCGCUAUAUUUCCUCGAAAACUGCGUAUAUAAUUAUGCGAUAAACCAUUAUAUUAUAUUAGCCUAAAAAAACAAAUGCGGUUAAAUUAGCCCAAAACCAAUAAAUAUUCCAAAACGCAUUUUUAAAAAUUUAAUUUGCAAUCGACAAUUUAUAAUGGAUGUUUUUCGCUAUUAUAUAAAUUGAAAAAUAUUGUUUAUUAAAUUUGCCGAAAAAUCUGGAAAAUGGGUGUUAAAACAAUUGGAUUAACAGCUAUUAAUCGCUUUGCACAUCCCUAACGAUAAUUACCAAAUAUUGGUAAAUAAUUGCGUUUUAUAUUUCGAAAUAACAGGUCGUUACCUGUCCCUAUUACCGUUUUUCCUGCCAAACAAAAAUUUGUUAGAAAAACGAACGUAAACGACAAAAAAAGGAAAAAAGGGAAAUAGGUUAUUAACGUACCAUACGCGAAAAAAAAUUUCAUUUUAAUUAUAACUAAUUACGAGCGGAAAGAAUAAAGCAAAUGGCCAAUAAUAAUCCUCCUGUUUAAAAAUAACGGUUAUGGGCUAAUUGGUGUAAUUUAACGUUAAUACGCAAUAUACCAAUUCCAUUAAAAUAAUAUAUUAUUAAAUAUUAUUCGCACCCCGUUUUAACCGCCAUUUUUAUUAAAUGGAUUACGGUCCCUGCAAAAAAUUCCGCAUAUAUAAAAAUAAUACCAUAUCGGGAAUAAUGGGGAAACCAGCAUUUGUAAUUGGGCCACGUUAAUACCAAAUACAAAUACCCCGCCGUUUGGUAUAUAUUCGGUAUAAAUUUAUUAAUCGUUGGACGUCCGGUAAUUUAAAAUUUUAAUGGUUAAAAAUACGGGAUAUUUGCCGGUUAUUGGGUUAAUAUUUAAUCCUAAAUGCGCUUUCCAAAACAUUUUUUGUAUAAAUAAUUGCAAUUGGAUAAAUA
rnacentral:sRNA from 1 species